ACUUUUGCAGAAAGACAACUUAGAGCAGGACGUGUUGUUAGAGCUCCGAUAUUUUAGGAAAUGUUUGUUUUUGUUUUCAACUUUUUACAUAUACGUAAGUGUAGCUUAUUAGAAAACGUUAUUUUUUGACUUUAAAGAAACUUUUUAAUAUUUCUGAGGACAUUUUUUGCUUCCACUUCGAAAACUACUAACUCACUCAGCCGCCAUUUUUGUUUCCUGUGUAGUUACUUUAUGGUCAGAAAUGUGUAGAGAAACGAUGGCUGCAAGGUCGAAGCACAUCAACACCGACUGUCUGAGGAGAGCUACGAUGAAACCUGGCUGUAAACUGAGGUGGAGACUGUUCCGUGUGUCCGCAGAGGAGGACGAGGCCCCGAAGCAGAGUCGCGCCGCCAUCCGAAAAUACCAGCGCAUGGUGCAGAGACGGGUACGGCUAGCUAACCUGGCUAACAUGUUGGGAGACCUGGACGCGACGCAGGAGAUGGAGGCCGUGGGUGCGGGAAACCACGCCGAGGCCCGGGCGCACAGUCAUCCAGCGGCGGGCUCAAUGGCGCCAAAGAACACCACGCAGUACCUGAUGAGUAACGUGUACGGAGACAUGAAGGCAGACGUUGAAUCAGCUCCGCACGAAACAUCCGCACAUGUGUAUGAUGAAUGUCUUUCACCAAGCAGUGUGUCCGCGGCUCUGGAUGCGGACUGUGACAGCUGCCUUGAUUUCCAGCAGAGGGACUUUGAAGAAGUGUUUGCACUGACUUGGUAACCGGAACGAACUGGUCUACGUGGCGUACGUGACAGACUGGCGUGGCCUUUCUUCCCCGAGCAGAGACUUUUCAAUAUGAAAAAGCGGUGCUUCGCUGCGCUGCCUCCCCACCGCUAGGGAGCGCUCCUGAGCCCGGAGGAAACCGCCCUCAGCUCCGGUCUACACCGCGGAUUGUAAAAUCCAGGUAAACCCGGGAAGGUAUUUUGUUGAUCUGCAUUGUCAUUGAUGGCACAAGUCGAUUGUGUUGCGAUGAAUACAAGUGCUUUCCACAGUCACUGUUGUCUCAGCGUUUUCCAGGUGACCCCUGCCAGGACACACAGCUCGGCUGAAGGAGCAGCAGAGCAAAAGGCGGUCGGUCUUCACCUGGCUGAUACAAGGUGACAUUUAAAGCACCCCCCCACCCCCACCCCCAGCAUCGCUGGUUCAGAUUCCCUCAAGGUUAAAUAAGUAUUUUUGUUGCAAUCUGGUAUAAAUGUUUGUGCAAUUAAUGCUAAAGUGAGUGAAGUUGUAUAUGAUUUAUUUAAGUGAUUCAUACAGAUUUUGGAAAUUUAUUACAUGAGUUUGUUCAAUAAACUUCUGUUACAUCAUAAAUCAA